ACAUGUUUAGAUUUUAACCGAAGCAUACCAACUAACUCGUUGAAUUUAAAACAUUCACAAGCCAAACACAAAAAGAAAACACAAAGAUUCAUACAAUAAUUACUAGAAAAUUUAGAAAUGGGAAAUUUGGAUAAAAAUAAAAAGAUGAAAAUACAUACAUCAGAGGCAUUACUAAUGAGCUCACAGAGAAAGAUCUCCUUGUUGCUAUAGAAGGUGUUGAUGAUCAAACUCAGAAGCUAGUUGAUCUCAUGGAUCAGGACCUGAGUCCACCUCCUGAGUUGUAAAACGACAUUGCCGAGGUCGGCGUAUCCCGCUUUCGAAAAAGAGCUUAUUCAAUGACGGCUGCUGAGAGGAGGAGGAAGCAGCAACCCAUCUGGCUCUUGCUUUGGAAGAAUUACCGUCGUCGGCGUUGGCGAACAAGAGGUCCCGGUUGAAAAUCGGGAACACCGGAUGGAUCUGGCCAUUUUAGAAUACAUCGUCGGUGGAAAUCGACGAUCCGUCGGAGUUGGUGCAGGCGAAAGAGAAAUCGUCUUCAUCUUCAUUCUUCUCGCAAUCACCAUCGGUGUCGGCGUUCUAAACACCUUCCUCCUCUUCCAUUUUCAGCUUCUCCUUCUCAUUAUCUAAAGCUACGUACAGUUUUAGGGUCAUUGAAUUCAAAAUCGCUACCUGAACCAGUGACUUUGAGCUUAGAGCUUAAAUUUGCAGAGAGUUGUAUUCAAAUUUGUUCUUCGAAUCGUGCAAAUUCGAAACCGCUUGCAUUUUCGUUUUGUUCAAUCAUAGACAAUUUGGGGGUUUUGAGGGUUCGAGGCUUGAAACUCGAGAGAGUGAGAGAGAGGGUUGGGAACUUGGGAGUUUAGUGUUGAGAGUUG
rnacentral:lncRNA from 1 species